UACGGGGGGGGCAAGCGUUGUUCGGAAUUACUGGGCGUAAAGGGCUCGUAGGCGGCCAACUAAGUCGGAUGUGAAAUCCCCAGGCUUAACCUGGGAACUGCAUCCGAUACUGGAUGGCUUGAAUUCGGGAGAGGGAUGCAGAAUUCCAGGUGUAGCGGUGAAAUGCGUAGAGAUCCGGAAGAACACCGGUGGCGAAGGCGGCCUGCUGGGCUAUGGCUGACACUGAGGCGCGACAGCGUGGGGAGCAAACAGG
rnacentral:rRNA from 1 species